rnacentral:lncRNA from 1 species
GCCUGGGGGCUGCUGGGGGGCGCUGGUUGCUGGUGGGAAGGUGGCCAUCGUGCCUGGCUUGUCUUCCCUGCCUCUCUUCUUCUCCUAACGCUUUGUCUGUCUCUGCUUUCCUGGCCCCGGGCCUCUCCACUCCCUCAGCUUAUAAGGCUGUGUCUCCUCCUCAGACCACAGUCUGGCUCCAGCCCAUCAGGCCCUGUCUGAUGCAAUCUGGCCCC